GCAUGUUUAAGAACAACCUGAACCUCACCCAAAUUCACCAAAAUGGCAUUGAUUGGCCAAGUGAUGGACAUAGUGGAUCCCCUUGUAUUGCCGGAAGGAUGCAUGAGAGAAUGAUGCAUAAGUGAUUUAACAGAGUGUUAGAAGUUGAACUUUCAUGUUCAAAAGAAAGACAAAGAGAAUGAACAGGAAUAAGAAACGUAAUAAAGGUCCUACAUUUUGAACGACAUUCUCACCAACAAUAGGGCUAUAUAUAAUCUGAGGCAUCAAUGAACCAAAUUUAGCACAUAAUAACCACCAAGAAUAGAGGAUGUAGAAAUUGUGGCCUUCUUCAGUUUUUAUUUAACUCUCUCCCUUUCUACAAGCCAAUUCAUUGUUUAUCAAUCAAAAAACAAUGAUUACUUUUGCAGUCCGCAAGCUUAUUUACCAGUGCUCGAGAUUUCAAGAUGAAUGACAAAAUCCAAUCUUCUAAUUCAAUCAACCAGCUCACUAAUUCAAGACAAACCCAGCAGAAAUCAAGUCCACGUUCAAACAAGAAGCAAUCAAUACAAAUUCAAGAGACGAUUACGAUACCAACAAUCUUACAUCAAUCAACAUCAGUUUCUCACAAAUUCCAUAACAAAAACCAAAAAUUGAUUUCAAUUUAUAAGCAUUUUCAUGAGGCAAAUUAAGCAUCAGAACAUACACCGCGAAAGCCCUAACAAACUAAUACACACUAAUUUAAGCAUCACAAUAUACAAAGCAAAAAAGGAAUUAUUCACCACACGUUGCCACGUGGCACAAAUGAUUCGAACCUGUAGUUUAUCAUCAAUCGUCAUCACCGCUUGCUAUCGUAAUCAACGAUCUCGGAAUCAGUAACCGACCUGGAGUGCUGCACUAUGGAGCGUCCGAUGGAGUUGAUCCAGUCCUCUUUCUCC
rnacentral:lncRNA from 1 species